GUGAAUCAUCGAAUUUUUGAACGCAAAUUGCACUCUCUGGUAUUCCGGAGAGCAUGCCUGUUUGAGGGUCAGUUUAAAUAAAAAUCGGUGUUGUGGCUUCCUUGCGUGGUCACGCACCGGACUUGGGUCGUCUUGCCUUCGGUUAAGUGCCCUAAAAUGUUGCAUGAUUUUUUUCGAACGUAUUUAAAUGAUUCUG
rnacentral:misc_RNA from 1 species